GCUGUUGUAGCUCAGUGGUAGAGCACUUGCCUAGCUCAUGUGAGGCACUGAGUUCAAUCCUCAGCAACACA
rnacentral:tRNA from 1 species